rnacentral:rRNA from 1 species
CAGCAGCCGCGGGAAUACGAAGGGGGCUAGCGUUGCUCGGAAUGACUGGGCGUAAAGGGCGCGUAGGCGGCGAUCGAAGUCAGGCGUGAAAUUCCUGGGCUCAACCUGGGGGCUGCGUUUGAUACUUGAUUGCUAGAGUGGGGAAGAGGGUCGUGGAAUUCCCAGUGUAGAGGUGAAAUUCGUAGAUAUUGGGAAGAACACCGGUGGCGAAGGCGGCGACCUGGUCCUUGACUGACGCUGAGGCGCGAAAGCGUGGGGAGCAAACAGGAUUAGAUACCCCGGUAGUCCCUGUCUCUUAUAC